rnacentral:rRNA from 1 species
UUAAGUUAUUAAGGGCGCACGGUGGAUGCCUUGGCACUAGAAGCCGAUGAAGGACGUUACUAACGACGAUAUGCUUUGGGGAGCUGUAAGUAAGCUUUGAUCCAGAGAUUUCCGAAUGGGGAAACCCAGCAUGAGUUAUGUCAUGUUAUCGAUAUGUGAAUACAUAGCAUAUCAGAAGGCACACCCGGAGAACUGAAACAUCUUAGUACCCGGAGGAAGAGAAAGAAAAUUCGAUUCCCUUAGUAGCGGCGAGCGAAACGGGAAGAGCCCAAACCAAAAAGCUUGCUUGUUGGGGUUGUAGGACACUCUAUACGGAGUUACAAAGGACGACAUUAGACGAAUCAUCUGGAAAGAUGAAUCAAAGAAGGUAAUAAUCCUGUAGUCGAAAAUGUUGUCUCUCUUGAGUGGAUCCUGAGUACGACGGAGCACGUGAAAUUCCGUCGGAAUCUGGGAGGACCAUCUCCUAAGGCUAAAUACUCUCUAGUGACCGAUAGUGAACCAGUACCGUGAGGGAAAGGUGAAAAGCACCCCGGAAGGAGAGUGAAAUAGAACCUGAAACCGUGUGCUUACAAGUAGUCAGAGCCCGUUAAUGGGUGAUGGCGUGCCUUUUGUAGAAUGAACCGGCGAGUUACGAUUUGAUGCAAGGUUAAGCAGUAAAUGUGGAGCCGUAGCGAAAGCGAGUCUGAAUAGGGCGUUUAGUAUUUGGUCGUAGACCCGAAACCAGGUGAUCUACCCUUGGUCAGGUUGAAGUUCAGGUAACACUGAAUGGAGGACCGAACCGACUUACGUUGAAAAGUGAGCGGAUGAACUGAGGGUAGCGGAGAAAUUCCAAUCGAACCUGGAGAUAGCUGGUUCUCUCCGAAAUAGCUUUAGGGCUAGCCUCAAGUGAUGAUUAUUGGAGGUAGAGCACUGUUUGGACGAGGGGCCCCUCUCGGGUUACCGAAUUCAGACAAACUCCGAAUGCCAAUUAAUUUAACUUGGGAGUCAGAACAUGGGUGAUAAGGUCCGUGUUCGAAAGGGAAACAGCCCAGACCACCAGCUAAGGUCCCAAAAUAUAUGUUAAGUGGAAAAGGAUGUGGCGUUGCCCAGACAACUAGGAUGUUGGCUUAGAAGCAGCCAUCAUUUAAAGAGUGCGUAAUAGCUCACUAGUCGAGUGACACUGCGCCGAAAAUGUACCGGGGCUAAACAUAUUACCGAAGCUGUGGAUUGUCCUUUGGACAAUGGUAGGAGAGCGUUCUAAGGGCGUUGAAGCAUGAUCGUAAGGACAUGUGGAGCGCUUAGAAGUGAGAAUGCCGGUGUGAGUAGCGAAAGACGGGUGAGAAUCCCGUCCACCGAUUGACUAAGGUUUCCAGAGGAAGGCUCGUCCGCUCUGGGUUAGUCGGGUCCUAAGCUGAGGCCGACAGGCGUAGGCGAUGGAUAACAGGUUGAUAUUCCUGUACCACCUAUAAUCGUUUUAAUCGAUGGGGGGACGCAGUAGGAUAGGCGAAGCGUGCGAUUGGAUUGCACGUCUAAGCAGUAAGGCUGAGUAUUAGGCAAAUCCGGUACUCGUUAAGGCUGAGCUGUGAUGGGGAGAAGACAUUGAGUCUUCGAGUCGUUGAUUUCACACUGCCGAGAAAAGCCUCUAGAUAGAAAAUAGGUGCCCGUACCGCAAACCGACACAGGUAGUCAAGAUGAGAAUUCUAAGGUGAGCGAGCGAACUCUCGUUAAGGAACUCGGCAAAAUGACCCCGUAACUUCGGGAGAAGGGGUGCUCUUUAGGGUUAACGCCCAGAAGAGCCGCAGUGAAUAGGCCCAAGCGACUGUUUAUCAAAAACACAGGUCUCUGCUAAACCGUAAGGUGAUGUAUAGGGGCUGACGCCUGCCCGGUGCUGGAAGGUUAAGAGGAGUGGUUAGCUUCUGCGAAGCUACGAAUCGAAGCCCCAGUAAACGGCGGCCGUAACUAUAACGGUCCUAAGGUAGCGAAAUUCCUUGUCGGGUAAGUUCCGACCCGCACGAAAGGCGUAACGAUUUGGGCACUGUCUCAACGAGAGACUCGGUGAAAUCAUAGUACCUGUGAAGAUGCAGGUUACCCGCGACAGGACGGAAAGACCCCGUGGAGCUUUACUGUAGCCUGAUAUUGAAAUUCGGCACAGCUUGUACAGGAUAGGUAGGAGCCUUUGAAACGUGAGCGCUAGCUUACGUGGAGGCGCUGGUGGGAUACUACCCUAGCUGUGUUGGCUUUCUAACCCGCACCACUUAUCGUGGUGGGAGACAGUGUCAAGCGGGCAGUUUGACUGGGGCGGUCGCCUCCUAAAAGGUAACGGAGGCGCUCAAAGGUUCCCUCAGAAUGGUUGGAAAUCA